rnacentral:lncRNA from 1 species
UGUUGUGGGGUGAGGGUAGGGGGGAGGGAUAGCAUCGGGAGAUAUACCUAAUGCUAGAUGACGAGUUAGUGGGUGCAGCGCACCAGCAUGGCACAUGUAUACAUAUGUAACUAACCUGCACAAUGUGCACAUGUACCCUAAAACUUAAAGUAUAAUAAAAAAAAAAAAGAAAUGAAUAACCCAGUUUAAAUCCUGUAAAGCAGUAAAGUGAUGUACCACAACUGUUGAACAGGUGAAUCCACCAGAAGAGUCUGGAACUAUUUAAAUCAAGAUUAUAGUAUGAAGGAAAACAUUCAUUAUCUGAUAGUUAAACGAUAUCUCUUUAGAUGAUAAGAAAAAGAUAAUUUAGACAGGAAUCUUAAUAUAGUAAUUCCACACUGUAAUGUAGACGGUCCCAUUGUCUGGAUAGAUGUCUUCAGACAAGGGGAAAAAGCAGGUUGAGAGACCUUUUGUGUAGGGACAUCUGUAAAGAACCCUCAUAGUGGUACACUCACAGAAUGAGACUGAACACAUUCAGUGUGCUAUGAAAAACCAUGAAAUUUAGAAUCACAAAGUAAUUUGGGGAAUCAUGCUGAACUAUGUUACUUGGGCCUGUAUUUUCACAGAAUGAUUCCCUUCUAGGCACUUACUGUAUGUUUUAUCCAUAGGAAUACACGUACGAUAGCAAUUUAUAAUAAUUUAAGUUGAAUAGACGUGUGUCUCAAGAGCUCUGGGACAAGUUGGGAAUUGGAGUGGUUUGUUUUCAUUUAAAACUCAGGAAAAAACCUUCAAAAUGUAUUAAGUAUUUUGUUUUAAGUCAACACUUCUCUUGUCUUAGUCAUUUUUCUUUUGCUCUCUUUGUCUGCCUUAACAAUUUCUCAGUUAAAAUUCUUUAUAUAAAAAUUGGACUUAAUAAGAGGCUAUUGAAAACAUACUUUAAAACAACUAUAUCAGAUAAUUCAAAAUGACUGAACGUACAAGAUUAAAGAGAUGUCAAAUCACGCUAUGAAAAGAAAAGGGUAAAGGAAAACCACUUGAAAAUGAUUCUGUUAAAGAUAUCCACAACAUAUAGUUAUAUGAAAAAAGGCAAACUUCCAAUGGUUUGUACAGUUUGACCUUAUUUUAAAGAUAGAUAGAUAACAUACAUUACGCAUGACCACAGUGUAUAGACACAGCAAAAUUAUUUUAUAUUAACAAUAUUUAUAUGUGGGUAGUAUAUUUGAGAUUCUUGUUUCUUCUUUUUACUUAUUUACAUUUUCCUAAUUUUCUACAAUUACUGUGCAUUAAUUUGAAAUAAAAUAAUAAAAAAUGUAUUUAAAAAUAAAAUGACUCAUUUUCAUAUUAAUGCCCCUGGCAUGGUUCAAGAUGUCAGAACUGAUAACUCAGAGGAAUCUGACUACUGUAUUUGUGGCCUUUCUUUUCUUUUUUUUCUUAGUGAAUCAUGGUAGUUUACUCAGAUUGAAAUAGGGCAGAAGGUGAAGGGCAGGCAUUUUGCUGGUGGAACUCAUCACUUUAGGCUCUUCCCUCACCCUACCCAGAUUCUCGGGCACACCAAUCCUGCUUGGAGGUGCCUCUUGGCCUGAGUCUCCCAUCACAUGAUUUAUUUGCUACAGACCCUGCUGUGCAGCCAGACUUUGCUCCACCUCUGCCUGAUUUGUCUUGAACCCCCUAAGACAAUACUACAAUAGGCAAUUGCAACUGUAAGACCAGGACAGAGGUUUAGGGAUUUAGUCAAAUCCCACCAGGAGAGGGAUGAGGUAGAUAGUAUUGACUCAGGAGCUGGGAGCAGUGAAAGAGUUAGGUCAGGAAGAGGCUUGGAGAGUAAGUAAG